CCAACCUUGGCUCUCGCUACCUCCCAGUCUGUUGUCACCAGGCUUGGUAUUGGUCAUGAACUUCACAAGCAUGCUACGGUUUGACUCGAAUCAUGCGUCGCUAUUGAACGCGAAGUAAGCAAACAAAGAUCACAUAGGCAAAGCACAUUUUCGCGAUUUAGAAACCAUGGGCAACCGUCAUGAUUUGCUUUAUUACUUGACCUUCAAUUAAUCUGACCAUCGGCUGUUUGACCAUCGUUGAAGGAGACUGCAGUGGCAGUACGUUUUUGAUUUAUUGAAUUGAAAUGGACUUAUUCAAAGAUGAAGGACGAAUUUGGAUGGCUCCAGGGCUUAAAAAAUGUUUCUUUCCUGCGCAGAAGAGAAUAAUACAGAGGAUAAUACAACUUACGAAGAGUCUUUUAGUACACAGAUCCAGCUGGUACCGUUGACUCGGAAUCUCAUAACAGGCUUUCGUUGAUGUUAUAAACGCAUUCCUUGGAUAGUAUAAGAGGAAAGAGCGAUGCAUUCCUCCGAUAACAUACGCUCUCUGGAGUUUCAACGAUGGUUGAGUAGCCUUGCAUACUCAUCACCUGCAUUGAAGCCGCGUUUUCCAAAUGAUUCGUUUUUGCCAUGUAAAUAAAAGAGGACUUUUACCAAAUUCA